rnacentral:rRNA from 1 species
UACGUAGGGACCAAGCGUUGUUCGGAUUUACUGGGCGUAAAGGGCGCGUAGGCGGCGUGGUAAGUCACUUGUGAAAUCUCUGAGCUUAACUCAGAACGGUCAAGUGAUACUGCUGUGCUAGAGUGCGGAAGGGCAAUCGGAAUUCUUGGUGUAGCGGUGAAAUGCGUAGAUAUCAAGAGGAACACCUGAGGUGAAGACGGGUUGCUGGGCCGACACUGACGCUGAGUGCGCGAAAGCCAGGGGAGCAAACAGG